GACGAACGCUGGCGGCGUGCUUAACACAUGCAAGUCGAACGAAGAGCGAUGGAAGCUUGCUUCUUUCAAUCUUAGUGGCGAACGGGUGAGUAACGCGUAAUCAACCUGCCCUUCAGAGGGGGACAACAGUUGGAAACGACUGCUAAUACCGCAUACGAUCUAAACUCGGCAUCGAGGAUAGAUGAAAGGUGGCCUCUACAUGUAAGCUAUCACUGAAGGAGGGGAUUGCGUCGGAUUAGCUAGUUGGAGGGGGAACGGCCCACCCAGGCGGUGGUCAGUAGCCGGUCUGGGAAGAUGGACGGCCACAUUGGGACUGAGACACGGCCCAGACUCCUACGGGAGGCAGCAGUGGGGAAACUUCCGACAUAGAGGGAAGUCUGACGGAGCCACGACGCGUGAGUGAUGACGGCCGUCGGGUUGUAAAGCUCUGUUAAUCGGGACGAAAGGCCUUCUUGCGAAUAGUGAGAAGGAUUGACGGUACCGGAAUAGAAAGCCACGGCUAACUACGUG
rnacentral:rRNA from 1 species